rnacentral:rRNA from 1 species
CGAGGACAGUGUCAGGUGGGCAGUUUGACUGGGGCGGUCGCCUCCUAAAGAGUAACGGAGGCGCCCCAAGGUUCCCUCAGAAUGGUUGGAAAUCAUUCGAAGAGUGCAAAGGCAGAAGGGAGCUUGACUGCGAGACCUACAAGUCGAGCAGGGACGAAAGUCGGGCUUAGUGAUCCGGUGGUACCGCAUGGAAGGGCCAUCGCUCAACGGAUAAAAGCUACCCUGGGGAUAACAGGCUUAUCUCCCCCAAGAGUCCACAUCGACGGGGAGGUUUGGCACCUCGAUGUCGGCUCAUCGCAUCCUGGGGCUGAAGUAGGUCCCAAGGGUUGGGCUGUUCGCCCAUUAAAGCGGUACGCGAGCUGGGUUCAGAACGUCGUGAGACAGUUCGGUCCCUAUCUGUCGUGGGCGUAGGAAAUUUGAGAGGAGCUGUCCUUAGUACGAGAGGACCGGGAUGGACGUACCGCUGGUGUACCAGUUGUUCCGCCAGGAGCACCGCUGGGUAGCUAUGUACGGAAGGGAUAAGCGCUGAAAGCAUCUAAGCGUGAAGCCCCCCUCAAGAUGAGAUUUCCCAAUUAGUAAGACCCCUUGAAGACGACGAGGUAGAUAGGUUGG